rnacentral:ncRNA from 1 species
CUAAGGAGAAAUUGCCACCGAGUGACGUGCCAGCGCUACUACUUGAUUGAGUGCCAGCACGUAGCUGUGCUUUCAGCAAGAAUUUCACCAUUGGGAGCCGGUGCCUUUCGAAGCACUUUCACGUGUGAACCGAAGUCGUCUUGCCCAAGACCCACGGAGACCUACCUAUAGUGACGUCAAAGUACCAGUGAGCAUGGAGAUUUGGUUGAAAUUGGUUACGACGACGUCGAGUUGGCGGCGGAGGAAGACUCGGCAUGAAGGCCAGAAAAUGGUGUGGAACGUAGUGGUAAUAGUACGCGCCCCGCUCCGAAACAAAGAAAAAGGUGCGUGCCGCACUCACGAGGGAUUGCCAGUGAGAUACUGGAGGAAGGUGGGGAUGACGUCAAGUCCGCAUGGCCCUUAUGGGCUGGGCCACACACGUGCUACAAUGGCAAUGACAAUGGGAAGCAAGGCUGUAAGGCGGAGCGAAUCCGAAAAGAUUGCCUCAGUUCGGAUUGUUCUCUGCAACUCGGGAACAUGAAGUUGAAAUCGCUAGUAAUUGCGGAUCAGCAUGCCGCGGUGAAUAUGUACCCGGGCCCUGUACACACCGCCGGUCACACCCUGGGAAUUGGUUUCGCCCGAAGCAUCGGACCAAUGAUCACCCAUGACUUCUGUGUACCACUAGUGCCACAAAGGCCUUUGGUGGUCUUAUUGGCGCAUACCACGGUGGGGUCUUCGACUGGGGUGAAGUCGUAACAAGGUAGCCGUAGGGGAACCUGUGGCUGGAUUGAAUCCUUU